AGAGUUGGAAGGAGCCCAGAAAUGCUGAGGGGUAGGAAAUGAAGCCUUGCAGAUAUAACAGUUGGUGAUGAACUUUUGCUAGAGGCUUAGCAUGACUUCCUCUUCCCCUGUUUAUGGCUGUGUAAGUUCCAGUCACAGUCUCCUUCCUGAAGUCACGGUCUCUCUCCAGGACACAAAGCUGCUGUGCAGUCCUGUUCUCUUUGCUCAUGUGGAAAGGCACCAGGAAAURACUGUUCUGCUCUUGACACACUGUGGAUUCACAGCUGGUCAGCCAAUGCUUGACACAGACCAGUGUUUCCUGAAACUACAAGUCCUCCAGGAAGACUCAGCAGAGACCAAUACAUAUGCACAGCAGAGAGAAAUACACAGGUGAAUUCUGCUUCAAUUUUUAUGUAGAUCCCAAGAUGGGGCAGCAGCCACUGCAAAAGCAGUGGAUCACCCUGGGGCCAUUAGCUAAAUCAACAAGACUUUCCUCCACACCUUGACUGCAGUGUGCUCUGAGUGUGAAAUAUGUGUUUGCUUUCACUGUUGCGUUAUCUAUUUUGCCAUGCAUUUUUAUCAAAAACGUUUUAUUGAACCUUGUCCUUCAGAUGGUGCUUAGACUUUACCAGCCCUUCUUCACAUGCUGUGAUUUGUUAGAUCUCUCCUGUGGCCUGAGUUCCUGACACAUACCCAGACAGGCUUCCUUCACAAAUGUAUUUACAGCUGAAGUUGGGCAAGCGCAGGAAAACAGUA
rnacentral:lncRNA from 1 species